AAAUCCCCGAGCACUGUAGUGUGUGGACAUCUGCCAUGACAUCUAUUUACCAAUGCCCUUCUUAGAUAUUGACCUCUCUAUUCAACUUACGGUUGCUAAAGUGAGAUCGCCGCAUAGCUGACAUGGCAGAUGUUCGGAAACCGCCGCCCACUUUCUGCUAUCCUCAUACAAUUCGCGAUCUUGUGACGUAACGCUGCCACGGAUGAUAGACGGCUGACAGGUGUCCUCGCCUACAUUUGUUUCAGAAGACGCCCGAAGUGGGAGAAGGGACACAUUAUUGGACGCUAAUUAAGUGGGCUUCGAUUUGUACGUCCGACAACUCCUCGCGCCGUGGCGAUGUUGCCGUUUCUUCCAAAUGGUUCGAUGAUUCGGCAAUGCUGCAGGCUGGUCCAGUGGAGCCAUCGAAGAUAAAAGUGGCUUGGGAUGCUGCGAAGACGUGGGAAACCGCGAGUUCUCGCGACCAUCUUCCCUGAUUUUAUUAGGAGAGCAGCGCCGUUUAUGUGGCACCGAGUUGAACGGUGACUACGUACGAAUCGGAGGUGCAGCAGCGGUGUUGCCAAAGUUUAGUUUUGGACAAAGGUUACAGGCUAAUGUGAACUGCUAUUCGAUAUCCUUCAGGGUUUUUAGGGAAAAAACUUUUCCUAACUGUAUAGAGGAUUAUAGAUAAAAUUCACUACGUUGAAGUUCACGUGCUGGAACAUUCUGCGAUCCUGCUCCGUUAUAUAAAAAUUUUCUCGAAAAAGCCUCAAAACUGAAAGCCCGUCCCCCAAUACACAAAACCCACUCACUACAUUCAUGAUCUGUGGUCCCCUAUACAAAGACUGACUGUAUGAAUUGAAUUUUAUAUGUUGUGCAACUGCGAUAGCACGCGAGCUUCGGUAAAAUAGCAAGAAGGAUGGAAAAUGAGGCAGGACUGGCUGCAGCACAGUUUCAUGAAAGUAAUCAUUUUUGUUAUAAAAUCAUUAAGGCUUAAGCCACUGAAAUAAAGCAAAGCAAAGUGUCCUUCAAAUAAUUUGUUUAUGAUAAUGGUUCUAAGUGAGUAUUCAUUCAAACUUAUAAAUCAGGCCGCAAUAAAAAAAAGUUGGCCAUAAAAACCACUACUUGAGAGGAUUCAAUACUAAAUUUGAAAUUGAAUUAGUACUGCCCAAUAUUUCUUGUUCGAUUUCUGGUUUUUGCUGGUUUACGUCGCGAGGAAGAAUCAAUCAAAAACUAAAGUCAAUAAGCUGUGCUUAAUUGAUGUUAAGCUUCCGAUUUUUAUAACUAAUCUUCUAUCUUCAAUAAUUGUUUAAAUUGGGUUGUUAAUUACAACUAUUUGACUGGAAGUACUUGAUUAUAUUCGUGCUAUUGUUAGAAAAUAGACGUAAAUAAUCUACUGUUUAUUGAGAUUAAUUCUAUUCUGCAAUUCUUUUGCUGCAGAAAUUUCAGUUAUUAACAAUUGUGGUUCUCCAAAACCUGCACUGAAAAGAUUAUAGAAUUUUAAACAAUUUUCGAUUCAGUUAUUUCGGUUAAGAUAAUUUUCAACAUUAAAUAACAGAACGUAUAAAUGAAGGUUCAAUCAGUUUUGCCACUUUUUGGUCCAUUGAAAGAUGCUUCUUUUAUCAUUUAAUCAAUAUUGAAAAAAACGAACGAACAUUUACAACAAAUCUACAACUUUCGAAUUUAAUAUUUUUUCCCAAAUUGCAAAUUAGAUGUAAAAACGGCGUGGCCAAAGUUCAAUCAAUAUUCGUUAACUCAAAAUCAGAAUAGGUCUAGAAUUUUGCGUAUAGUUCGAAUGUGCAAUAAGAAGUUCAAUAUUCCAUUUAAAAACAUGUAAGUUUGAUCUGCUACUUGAAUUUGAGAC